AGGUAGCGCAAUCACCUGUCCCUUAACUGAGGACUAGUAUGAACGGCUAAAUGAGGGCACGACUGUCUCCUGCGACCAAUCAAUGAAUUUGAUCUUUCAGUACAAAAGCUGAAAUAUACCCAUAAGACGAAAAGACCCUAUGGAACUUUAAACCCGUGCACUACUAAGCCUAACAAGAAUGACCUGACACUAGUACACACUUUCAGUUGGGGCAACUUAGGAGCAAAAUAAAAACUCCAUGAUUAUGCACUUAUUAUACGCAAACCCCUCAGGCUGCCGAGCCCCCUUAACGACAGACCCAGUAUAACUGAACAUCGAACCAAGCUACCCUAGGGAUAACAGCGCUAUCUUCCCCCGAAAGUUCAUAUCAACGGGGAGGCUUACGACCUCGAUGUUGGAUCAGGACCCCCAGGCGGUGCAGCCGCUGCCAAAGGUUCGUUUGUUCAACGACUAAUGUCCU
rnacentral:rRNA from 1 species